CCUUUGCUAUCCAAAGCAGUUGUACAAGGAUCCAAUCAUCCAGCUCAACAAAAUCAACAAACGAACCAGAAAAGGCAACACGAAGAUUCUAUGAGAAGAAAUGAUGGAGAAAAGAUAAAACAUUCAAAACCUGUUCCAAAACAACAGAAAGCAAAUUCACAAACUCGUGGACAUUUGGAUAGAAUGAAUGAUCGUGAUAACCAGUCUUUCAAUUCGGAAACACAAAGACAGCAUCACGACCAUUACGAUGGAGUGUACUACGAGGGAGGCAGAAUGAAUUCGUGGGAUUAUGAUCAAAGCAAGUAUUACCUUCCUCCUUUGCCAAACAAAGGUGGCCAUUUACAAAGUCGACAAACUAACCCUCCUUACAACCGAAGAAAUCCACAAGGAUCAGAGGUCAGCCCAAGCUAUGCAAACUCUGGAAUUCCACAUACAGUAUACAGAUCAAAGGAAUACCGGUCAGCUACACCAAAACCGGUUGGACGAGGGCAUUAUAACCCAAGUGCACAUGGCUCUAAGUCAUCUUACGGACAUGAAUAUUACAAUGAAAGAUACAAAGAUCAGGACAGUCAAUAUUCCCAGUCGAAACAAAAUCCCCGCUACGGAAAUUCACAAACUCAGAUACAUCACACUGAAACACAUUCGUACCAAUCUACCGAGUUAUGACUGAGAAAUGUUAAUUCAUUGCAAAAGUUUUAAUUUGGAUGUUAUACAUAUUUAUAUUAACAUGUACAUGUAUACAAAAUUAAGCUGAUUUGAUAAAAAUGAGUGGACCUAAUCUAAGUGUUACACUAUCACAAAAAUGUCUGAGUAUAAAAAUUAAAAAGCUCUCCACAGUCU
rnacentral:misc_RNA from 1 species